rnacentral:lncRNA from 1 species
AUCUAUAAAUCUUUGUCAACAUUUUUUCUCCUUAGAAACAGAGACCUAGGCCAGCCGUGGCGGCUCACGCCUAUAAUCCCAGCACUUUGGGAGGACAAGGUGGGAGGAUCACUUGAGGUCAGGAAUUUGAGACCAGCCUGGCCAUCACAGCGAAACCCAGUCUCAGCUGGGCGUGGUGGUGUGUGUACCUGUAAUCCCAUCUACUUGGGAGGCUGAGGCAGGAGAAUCACUUGAACCCGGGAGGCAGAGGUUCCAGUGAGCCAAGGUCUCCCCACUGCAAUCCAGCCUGUGCGACAGAGUGAAACUCCAUUUAAAAAGAACAAAAACAAAAAACAAACCAAAAAGGAAACAGAGACCUAGAAGUGGUAUUACAGCAAAGGUUUUGAACAUUUUAAGGUUUUUGAGCACCAGAUUCAGACACUCAGUAGUUUUACAUGAGAGUGCUACAACAUCCUCACUAAGUAGUAUUUGGGUUCAUCAUAAUUUUAAAUUAUUUUGGUGUGUCAAUUUGAACACUAGAGUGAUAACUAAAAACUUGAAUUCAAUAAUUUUACAAUUGUAUUCCAUCUUAAAAUAUUUUAUGGCAAACUUGGAUAAAGUAUAUAAAUAAUCCAAGGGUGUAAAGUAGAAAGUGAAAGCUCCCUUCUCCCAGUUCCAGCCCCCUGAUGUUGCCAAUAUUAAACGUUGUAUAUCCUUGCA